CGCGCCGCGGCUCCGCCUGCAGAGCCCCGGGGAGAUAAGCGCGCAGGAGUCAGCAGGUUGGACGGGAGAGAUACCCGCGGGAAGGGGACCGGCCGAGCAGCCUCGGGAGAGAUAGCGUUUCCUGCCUUCAAACAUUGUAUCAACACAAGGAAUUGAGACAGUUACCCGAGUGGACAGUUUUCAUCAGCAGCAAUGUCAUCAGGCACUUGGGAGAUGGCUGCUCCAGGAGUGGAGACACCCAAAGCAACAUCUCCUUUGGAAGAACCACAGGAAAACGUCUCACCCAGGACCGCCAAUUUGGGAGGAAAGAAGAGACGUGGCAGGGCUCUGGUCUUCGAGUCACUGCCUGCCCCGGUUUGUGCAUGCCGGCAGCUUUUGGCUCUGUACCUGUUCUGUGACAGCCAGUGACACUCCAAACCCCUGAUGCCUCUGGCCUGUAUUGCCCAAGAAAUUCAUCUUCAGAAGUGACUUUAAAAUAAAACAAAACAAAGCCCAAAAUUCAUCCCAAAAUUGCUCAUAUGGUGCCCCAACCCAAAACCCAAGGAUGGUGUCUUAAUUACCAGGUUUUCCCUGGUUGGUACCCCCCAAAAAUACUGCUUUAAUUUUUAGAAAAUGAAUUGGAAUCAUUGCACCAUAAGAAGAGUUUGCUACAAGCGAGAGGAAUCAAAUUUUAUCUCUUUCCAUGUUGCCUAUAUUUAUUAAACAUUUCUCAUACACAUCACCUGAAUCAAGUCCCGGACUCUGAAACAAGCAACUGACCUGGAAACCACCGACCUAUUUGUAAAGAACUGUUAGGUAAUUUUAAAACUUUAAGUAAAAGUAACCAUUUCCACCCAUACUCCCUACACACCAACCUUUUUAUCAUUUCUAAGGAUGUGGAAGUCAUACUGGCCCUGAGACUAAUGUCCAGGGUGGGUCAGGUCACCCUACUUGCCUCCCACAUACUCUUCUCUGCCCCGGGACCAGGCACUAAAUCCACAUCCUGAAUAGAAAGCUCCACAUAUCUUCAGUUUAGUGAUUGCUCAGGGGCUGCCUUUCUUACCCAAAACCUUUGCUCCAGGUCCAUCUCCCUUAGCCCUCUCGGAAGUAUUGAAACGUUGGGGUGUACAGGGACUCAGGCACUGCCCCUACACCC